rnacentral:piRNA from 1 species
UAGCUGUCGCAUUGGGACCUGGAUGACU